rnacentral:rRNA from 1 species
GAUCAUGGCUCAGGACGAACGCUGGCGGCGUGCUUAACACAUGCAAGUCGAACGAUGAAGCCCAGCUUGCUGGGUGGAAGAGUGGCGAACGGGUGAGUAACACGUGAGUAACCUGCCCAUCACUCUGGGAUAAGCGUUGGAAACGACGUCUAAUACCGGAUACGACCUUCGGAGGCAUCUCCUGGGGGUGGAAAGAAUUUCGGUCAAGGAUGGACUCGCGGCCUAUCAGCUAGUUGGUGAGGUAAUGGCUCACCAAGGCGACGACGGGUAGCCGGCCUGAGAGGGUGACCGGCCACACUGGGACUGAGACACGGCCCAGACUCCUACGGGAGGCAGCAGUGGGGAAUAUUGCACAAUGGGCGCAAGCCUGAUGCAGCAACGCCGCGUGAGGGACGACGGCCUUCGGGUUGUAAACCUCUUUUAGUAGGGAAGAAGCGAAAGUGACGGUACCUGCAGAAAAGCACCGGCUAACUACGUG